AGACUUUAUCCCUACAUACAUACAUCAGAAUAGAUUCGGUGAAAGUUUAAAAAAUCUCCAUUACCAACUACCAAAGGUUAUCAAAAUACAUAUUUACACAAGUACUUAUGAUGCAGGCGGAAGCUAAAACACAGUAACAAACAAAGAAAGAACACAGAAAUUUUAGUGAGCGAAAGGGGCUGCCCAAGUUCGCAGAUGUGAACCCCAGCUAUAUCAAUUUAGCUUGGCAAUUAAAACUAAAUCUGCUUCAAAAGACCCAUAUUUCCUCAGUUCACCACCAACAGACAACCAGCAAUCGAAAGAUGCCAAUCAGCUUGUCGCUCAACUGGCAUUAGUUUCCUCCUCUCAAGAGUUCUUGAGUUAGAGCCUCGAAAAUUGCCAAAUUUUCUUAAUAUCAAACAAAACAAACCUUUGUCAAUUUUGAAGGAAGUCCAAGCACAAUCAACUUGUACAGGGUUGAUCAAAAGAUUUUGGCAAAUUAAUGUGAAGGACAAUGAGAACAUCACAGACUGUAAUCAUCCAUUUUUGUCAGAAGAACAUGACUGCAUAGAAAUCCAAGAGCUUUGACGACCUAUUUUUGAAUUACGAUACUCCCCCAACUACCAAGAAACUACUAAAUAAAGAAAACCCUCUUGCAUCUUGAAAAAUCAUCAAAACUAUUGGAAAACACA